UACAGAGGUCUCAAGCGUUGUUCGGAUUCAUUGGGCGUAAAGGGUGCGUAGGCGGUCGUGCAAGUCGGAUGUGAAAUCUUAGGGCUCAACCCUGAAACUGCAUUCGAUACUGCAUGGCUUGAGUACUGGAGGGGAGACUGGAAUUUACGGUGUAGCAGUGAAAUGCGUAGAUAUCGUAAGGAAGACCAGUGGCGAAGGCGAGUCUCUGGACAGUUACUGACGCUGAGGCACGAAGGCCAGGGGAGCAAACGGG
rnacentral:rRNA from 1 species